rnacentral:lncRNA from 1 species
AUGCUACCAUGCCGAGCAAUUUGCAUCAUUCUUUAGAAAUGUUUGAGAGAGUCGAUGAAUGCUUGGAUUCCUAGGAGAAACUUUGUAUAUAACUUUUUUUGAAAUCAGUUUUCAUGGAGAAUGGACUCAUCUGUUUUACAAUGUUGGGAAUGUGGUGUGAUGGAGAGCAGCCUUUUAGCGUGAGGCUCAUGUAUCACUUCUGUACUGAUAUGGUAUAACCCCAUAAUAUGUGCCCAAAAGAUGUAUGGUUUCUGGCUUUCCCUGAUGUUAGGAAAUUUUGAUUGCA